GUUGGAAGCCACUUGUGGUCCAGUCUGGUCUGAUGUGUUCCUGUCUCCUUAGAUAGGGGGCGCUGUUUCUAAAAUGAAUCUCUCAGAGGAGCCAAAGACCGAAGGAGGAACCCUCAGCAGUGAGAGGAAGAGGGUCCAGGUAGAAAGAGCAGGGUCACCUGUACCCAGCUGUGUGUCUCUGAAGAGUGAUCCUUCAGUGGAUCAUCCACUCACUUUCAAAGGAGAGUUCACAGGUGACCCAAGGGUCCAGGUAGAAAGAGCAGGGUCACCUGUACCCAGCUGUCUGUCUACUGAAGAGUGAUGAUUCAAUGGAAUU